AUCCACCUUGGCCGAUGCGCUGUCCAAUGUAGUCGUGCUGGACGAGUUGCCGUUGCCGACUCGACAAGCUUCCAUCGAAGCGGAGCCUUGUUCCGUUCUGUUUCAGACCAGUUUCGAAACUACAAUUUCGAGGAUCGCAGAGUUCGUAACCGGAAUUGUAAAUUCAUCAAGAACGACGAACUUUAAUUUGAAUCAACUUUGGACGAAGGAAAAAAAGAUGCCUUUAUGUAUGCACCUGGCGGUGCUGCUCCCGAGCAAAACGCUGUCAAAAUCCAACGACCAACCUAAACGGGUGAAAAGGUAAACAAACUUAUUUUGUACUCCCAGCGGAAGGCAGUCGAAGCCUUUUCCGGGGAAGUUGAAAUUCUGACUCCCGGUAAAUUUACGAAUCGCGUUUAAGAACGAUAACAGUACCUACUAGCGAAUAGCCCAAUUCCUCAAAUUAAUGUUCGUGGGCAAUCAGAAUGAACCAACGAGAAAAUCAUCAGCUUAUCUGGAGGUGGUGCUGUUCUUUAGUGAUAUGCGAAUUCCCUAAUUCCAUGCAAGUGGCUGCUAUCCAGCGCCCAAGUGAUCGAUCCCCAGGCGUAUCUGAUUCGUAUCACCAUUCGGAAGGACCACGUGAAGUACAUCAACGAAUUUUCCCGGCGGAAUGUGAAAAGUACCUAUUAGGCUGACUUUUGGAACGCUGACCAGAAUCAGGACUGCUGAGUGGCUGGAAAAUCCACACAUCAUUGACAAUAGCCAGGUUUACAUGAAAAAAAUGUUUCAAGAUGAGUUGAAAUUUCAUCUUUAGAAGCCGUGACAAUUCAAGGUAUAUUCCGAGUCUUAGACGGAUAAUUCUUUCCUUUUGCCCAAUCAUACUUGGUGGCUUGCUUGCCUUUUUUCCUUUGAAUCCGCUGCUCAAAAAAUGUCAGGAACCUUGGCAGGAAACAGACAUCUGGGCCCAGAGAAGGCGAGCAAAACUAAUUUUUGUUACACGACGUGAAAAGGAACAGUUUUUGAAUAACAUGACCGAGUACUACCAACGGAAAGACUUCUCCGAGGGCAAGGGAUUCAUAUUUCGAAUGUUUACGGAUGCUUCACAUCAUGCCGGAGAGGAUUUCUAAGAAAAGCCGGUUAAUGGUCACCUUGCAGAAAUGUUGCAUGUUUUUUUCUAGACGAAAUUUACUGUUGCCCACAGUCUGGUCAUGAUUAUCUAACGGACUUCAAUCUGUACUACCAUGUGCUGGAAAAAAAGAACGGCCGAGGAAAGCUCCAACUGCUGGCACAUCUGUCAAAGUUACGAAACAUGAGCUGUACAAUUUAUAAGUUUUCCGUUUAGGAUACGGAGGAAAUUCAACCCAGUUAAUGCAACGGGACGUCAAAGUUCAUUCGUAUCAUACAGCGGAGAAAAACAUGCCAGUUUUGACCAUUGCUUUCGGAAUAUGUAUUGAUAAACCGGAUGUGCGAUUUGUUACUCUUCAUUAUUAAUUUAGAGGUUUCGGACACGGUCUGGAAAGAGGUGUUGUUCGGUCGAGAGCAGGAAUCGAAAGAGACCCUUUUUUAUUCAUGUGUUUGACACGUACUUAAACAUUUGACGUUUCGUCUUUUAUAGCACA